GAUGAACGCUGGCGGCGUGCCUAAUACAUGCAAGUCGAGCGGUAAGGCCUCUUCGGAGGUACACGUGCGGCGGACGGCUGAGUAACGCGUAGGAACGUACCCCAAAGUGAGGGAUAAGCACCAGAAAUGGUGUCUAAUACCACAUGUGGCCCACGGGCUAAAGCUUCGGCGCUUUGGGAACGGCCUGCGUAAGAUUAGCUAGUUGGUGAGGUAAUGGCUCACCAAGGCGACGAUCUUUAGCUGGUCUGAGAGGAUGAUCAGCCAGACUGGGACUGAGACACGGCCCAGACUCCUACGGGAGGCAGCAGUAGGGAAUUUUCCACAAUGGGCGAAAGCCUGAUGGAGCAACGCCGCGUGCAGGAUGAAUGCCUUCGGGUUGUAAACUGCUUUUAUAUGCGACGAAUAUGACGGUAGCAUAUGAAUAAGGAUCGGCUAACUCCGUGCCAGCCGCCGCGGUAA
rnacentral:rRNA from 1 species